GAAGUCGUAACAAGGUUUCCGUAGGUGAACCUGCGGAAGGAUCAUUGAAUCGAUCGAAUCCACACCGAGAACUCACGUCCCCCUGCGGCCUCCGGGCCGUGGCGUCGGUCCCCUGACCGUGGGAGCCUGCUCCCCUCUUAGGUCCGGCGGGCGCCCCCCAAGUCCAAUUCAUUUUGGGCCUGGGACCAGGCGCUGGUAAUUUCCUAUCCAACCCAACCCACCCCAAACCAAACCAAUUCAAACUGAAGCUCUGUGGCAGCCGGCUCGACCGCCUCCACUCAAACCAAUGACAACUCUCAACAACGGAUAUCUUGGCUCCCGUAUCGAUGAAGAACGCAGCGAAAUGCGAUACGUAGUGUGAAUUGCAGAAUUCCGUGAACCAUCGAAUCUUUGAACGCAAAUUGCGCCCGAGGCCUCGGCCGAGGGCAUGUCUGCCUCAGCGUCGGUUUACACCCUCAACCCCCCUUUCCGGGUGGGUUGGACCUGGCCCCCUCGGAUUUUUUAAUUAAAAUUCGGGCCGGCUGAAGUGGAGAGGCUUGAGCAUGGACCCCGUUUGCAGGGAAAUGGCUUGGUAGGUAGGCACCCCCUACAACCGCCUGCCGUUUCUCGAGGGGAUCGUGCUGGGAGCCCAGCAGGAAUUUUCGGCGGCCCCGGCCCCCGAAAAAACUCAUACCUUCGACCUGAGCUCAGGCAAGAACACCCGCUGAACUUAAGCAUAUCAAUAAGCGGAGGAAAAGAAACUAACCAGGA
rnacentral:rRNA from 1 species